rnacentral:lncRNA from 1 species
UCGCCCCCGAGGCACCGCUUGCGACACCGGGGCAGAUCCGGCUGGGCACAUCCUGUCCUCUCCCAGCAGAGCUGCAGGAGCCAGCAGCGUCUGUCUGUCUGUCUGUCCGUGCGGGGCUCGGUGUGCUCGGACAGCCAUGGGCACGGCACUCGUGGCCAUCCUGGGGCUGGCAGCGCUGCUGCCCGCGGACGCGCUGCCCUGCGGAGCGCAGCGCCCGGACAGCUCCACGGCAGCCAAGCUGCCGGGGACCUGGCUGUACGUGGCAGGGGCUGCCCAGUUCCCCCAGCACCGCGUGGAGAUGCUGCUCAUCGACCACGCCUUGCUGCGCUUGGAGCCCGGGCCCGGCGGGCAGGAGCUGCUCAUCAGCCACUACGUGGCCGUGGGGGACCAAUGUUUUACCCACAACCUGACCUACCUGGAAGUCACCGCCGGUAACGCCACGCUGGUGAAGCACGCCAAGACCCAGCAAACUGAGGGGAUGCUGAUGAACAUGAGCUCUGAAAACCUUUUACUCAUCCAGUACCAAAUGCAGAGGGACAGGACAUAUUUGGGGCAGUAUCUCUACGCCAGGAACCUGAGCAUCAGCACAGCAGACCGGGAGGAAUUCGAGCAGCACGCUGAGUGCCUGGGGCUGAGGGCGGAGCAGAUCGUGUACGCGCCGUGGAAAACGGAGGUGUGUCAAGUGAAAGCAGCUGAAGGCAGCAAGAGCCCACAGCCAGAGCCCGUGGAUGCAGCCACAGCAUCUCCUGCUCCAGGCACCCCCUGGCCUGGGAGUGCAGGGAACUGACCCCACGCAGGGCAAUAAACUUUUCCUUCAAAUUAGAUACA